rnacentral:rRNA from 1 species
UACACAUCGCCCGUCACUCUCAUCUAGUCAUUCGGAUGAGAUGAGAAAAGUCGUAACAUAGUAGGUGUAUCGGAAGAUGUACCUGGAAAAU